CAGAGAAUGUAUUGCAGUGUGCCAUUUGAUAUCAGAGAUUCCAUUACCUCCUAAGAGAUCCUUAACAUCUGUUGCCUGGGCUGGCGAGUUCUUUGCAUGAGAAGCCAUGAGUAGAUUGAGCUGCAGCCUGACAUCUGGAAUGUUCUUUCUAAUUACAGUACUCGCAGAAGGAAGACAAAUAUGAGGAAGAGAUCAAGGUCCUUUCCGACAAGCUGAAGGAGGCUGAGACUCGAGCUGAGUUUGCGGAGAGGUCAGUAACUAAAUUGGAGAAAAGCAUUGAUGACUUAGAAGAGAAAGUGGCUCAUGCCAAAGAAGAAAACCUUAGUAUGCAUCAGAUGCUGGAUCAGACUUUACUGGAGUUAAACAACAUGUGAAAACCUCCUUAGCUGCGACCACAUUCUUUCAUUUUGUUUUGUUUUGUUUUUAAACACCUGCUUACCCCUUAAAUGCAUUUUUAUUUACUUUUACCACUGUCACAGAAACAUCCACAAGAUACCAGCUAGGUCAGGGGGUGGGGAAAACACAU
rnacentral:sRNA from 1 species